GGAUCUUUGUUUCUGGGUAAGGGGUGAAAGUAAGGAGAAACUGACAGAAGAGAGUGAGCACUUAGAGACCAUUAUGUUAUAUGAAUCUAUACCAUUGUUUUUAGGUGCUCACUUCUCUUUCUGUCGGCUUCUCAUCCUUCUUCUUCUUCUUCUUCUUCUUGUUUUAGAUUU
rnacentral:pre_miRNA from 1 species